CCCCAAUCCCCACGCACGCCCGCACCCCUCCCUCCUCCCUCGCUCGUCUCAGCCGCCACCCCCACGAACCCUAGCCGCCACCCCCACGAACCCUUAGCCGCUCCCUUCCUUCAUCCGUCCUCCUCCCCCUCCCUGCUACGAGCCCCUCCCCGGCGGCCGCGAGCUCCUCCUCCUCCGUUCUCGCUUGCUCCAACCCGAGCACGCUGGCGGAGACACGAACCGUGAGGCCCCGGAGCAGUUCAGCCAGCACCGCAAGACCCCGGAGCAGUUCAUCCAGUACAGAUCCCCUCCGUACAAGAGGAAACCCGUGGCCAAUCCAGCCAACAACGACGACGCGUAGGAGAGCUCGACCUUGAUGAGGAAAGCAGCGGGGUUGGUGCAGCAGCGAAGGUCGGGGUCGGCCGUGGAGGGAGGCUUGCUGGCCGAAGCAGCAAGAGCAAGAAGGUUGAGGUGGUUCAGAAACUGAAUGCAUAUAAGAAUCGAGGACCUUCACAGUGGCUUCAUGAUGAUGAUCAUCUACCGAGGCAUCAAGAUGAGCACAUACAUCAUCUUGGACAAGCAGAUGUGAAUUUCUUCUCGCAUCCCGAGUACAUAUGUGAGGCUAUGGGAGUACUUUUUCAUGUGAUGAUGGGAGGAACGAAUUGUACCAUGUGAACAAUCGCUGGUAGUUUUGAAGGUUUCUUCCCAGAGUGGCUUAUCAAUUAUUUGGUCCUGCACACCCUAAUUAGGAUUGGAAUAAGCUGGUCAAUGCAGGAAACUCUGAAAGAAAGCGACUAAAAUCAACAUUUGAAGUUCAUCGAAAAAUGAAGAGGAUCAUGCCUUUCUGUUGGAAUUGCUUUUCUGGUUUAAGCAAUCAUUCAGGUUAUUGAAAUACUCUGAUGCCUCUUUUCUUCGGUCAUUACUAAUGAUGAGUGUCGUGUGUCUGAUACGGUUUCAUGAGAGUAAUUACCAGUAGUGAGAGCUUUCAGAUUAGGGAUUACGAAUAUGAAGUAGAUGUGCCUUAUAUAUAGACGCCUAACAAUUAAAAAACUAAUACUUAUCUCUAAUCAUCCUUACAUGCAUACAUGCAUGCGAGAUAUCUCUGUUUUCAGACCCUCUCUCUGUUACACAUUUCCAUGAAAAAACAAAAGUAAAAGGGAAAACUCACUUUUGGUUCAUAUGGUGCAGACCAGCAAGCGAUUGUUAAUGAAAGGUUUGAUUUGCAGGUAUACUGAAAUCAAGGUCUUUUAUCUAACUGGUUGGAUAACUACUUUUCAGGUCUAUGCCUUUAACUAAAAUUAAGCAUUUAAUUACUGUUCUGUUGUGUUAUUGAUUUCACCGCUUUUAUGUCAGCCGAUUAGUUCUGAAGGAUUCCACAACGGCUAAUUUAGAUUAUGCAACUUUCGACCAAAAAUAAUUAUUGACAUGUAUAUUUAUCAAGAUCUUUUAUCUAAUUGGUUGGAUAACUACUUUUCAGCUUCAACAUUUGGCUCAUUCUUGUUUUUGGUAAUGUUUUCUUGAUAGUGGAGCAGUCAUGGACCUGUUAUAGAGAUCUUGGUGAAAAACUUGUCACUGCAAUUCAGUCAAAUGGGUGUUGAGAUUGAAGUUUCUGCUUUUGUUGACUUUCUGAUAAAUUACAAAAACAUCGACAAGGUAAAGUUAUGCUUCCUUGCUGUCCGAUGUAUCAUGUUUUUCAUGGUAAAGGAAUGGCAAUUUAUAUGUCUGUAGGUUAUGUGGGAGCCUUUUAUAGAGUCCUCAUGUUUUCAGUUAAAUAUACUUCGAAAAUGUGUUUUUCAUGCACUGGAUGUAUCUCCCAGUACUGUGGUGUCGCUAAAUUCAAGCAAGCAGCUUAAUGUUAACAUAUCAGAGCCCUUCAUCGAGGUACAUGAUCUUGGCAUACUGUAUUUUUCAAACUUGUCAAGAGAUAAAUUAUUGUUCUGUCCUAUCUUCAAGUGAUUAACAUUAUAGUUUUCUGCUGCCACUGUCAUCUUGAUUAAUGUGAUUCAGGAAUCAGGGCAGUGGUCUGCGGAUAGAAUGUAGCUAUAUAUCUUAUCUCGGGGAGCAUCACACCUAUUUAGCUUAGAAGUUUUUUUUCUUACAUUAAACUCAGCAGUGUGUGAUAAUUCGAGACAAGGGGAUUGAUGAUGACACAGACUCAGUCUUAGGGCUUGGCUUCUUACCGGUGGAGAGCUCCUCCAUGUUUAAAAUAGCAUGUUUUAGUUCUGAUUACAACCAUAUAGGUAUUCAUGUAUAAGAUUGUUUGCUUUCAGUUCUGGUUAAAUCAUCUUGGAUGAUCAAUCAAAUUUCCAGUGAUGAUACUCUAGCCUUCAUCGAGGUACAUGAUCUUGGCAUACUGUAUUUUUCAAACUUGUCAAGAGAUAAAUUAUUAUUCUGUCCUAUCUUCAAGUGAUUAACAUUAUAGUUUUCUGCUGCCACUGUCAUCUUGAUUAAUGUGAUUCAGGAAUCAGGGCAGUGGUCUGCAGAUAGAAUGUGGCUAUAUAUCUUAUCUCGAGGAGCAUCACACCUAUUUAGCUUAGAAGUUUUUUUUCUUACAUUAAACUCAGCAGUGUGUGAUAAUUCGAGACAAGGGGAUUGAUGAUGACAGAGACUCAGUCUUAGGGCUUGGCUUCUUACCGGUGGAGAGCUCCUCCAUGUUUAAAAUAGCGUGUUUUAGUUCUGAUUACAGCCAUAUAGGUAUUCAUGUAUAAGAUUGUUUGCUUUCAGUUCUGGUUAAAUCAUCUUGGAUGAUCAAUCAAAUUUCCAGUGAUGAUAAUCUAGCGGAUCAGGCUUCUAAACCACUAUCACUUUCCUGACAGAAGUUGUGCAUGUAGUACAUGUUUUCGGUUUAGCAAAGCUCUUUUUUAGUUAGAGAUCAAUUUUGAAGACUAACAUGUCAUAUGAAUGCCACCAGCUUAUUAGCAAAAGCCUUGAUCUUUCCAAUUUUGUAGGUUGAGGGAAUACUUUGCUACUUCAAAAUCUCCAGAUAAAAGUUGAAGAAUUCGUACGAUAAUCGAUUGGAAACAUAUAUCUAGCAGUUCAUUUUUUUCAUGCGCACAAUGGGAUAAAUUGAUGUAACACAAGCCUUUACAAUUUAGUGCUGUUGUUAUAGAAUCGGGAGACUUGCUUUGUUACCGUACUUAGAGUUGCCGAUUUCUUACUAUAGUAAUAGCCAGGAAGGUUUGUAGUCAACUUAUCUGCAGUUGUAAUUAGUCGACUUAUGCUGCUUAAAUUAUUGUUCUUUGGUGACCAGUGAA